rnacentral:rRNA from 1 species
AGAGUUUGAUCCUGGCUCAGGAUGAACGCUGGCGGCAUGCCUAACACAUGCAAGUCGAUCGGUAAGGCUCUUCGGAGUACACGAGAGGCGGACGGCUGAGUAACGCGUAGGAACACACCCUGCAGUGAGGGAUAAGACACCGAAAGGUGUUCUAAUACCGCAUACGGUCUUCGGAUUAAAGCAUUUAUGCGCUGAAGGAGUGGCCUGCGUCAUAUUAGAUAGUUGGUGAGGUAAUGGCUUACCAAGUCGAUGAUGUGUAGCUGGUCUGAGAGGAUGAUCAGCCAGACUGGAACUGAGACACGGUCCAGACUCCUACGGGAGGCAGCAGUGAGGAAUAUUUCACAAUGAGCGAAAGCUUGAUGGAGCAAUGCCGCGUGCAGGAUGAAGGCCCUCGGGUUGUAAACUGCUUUUAUAAGAGAAGAUUAUGACGGUAACUUAUGAAUAAGGGACGGCUAACUACGUGCCAGCAGCCGCGGUCAUACGUAGGUCCCGAGCGUUAUCCGGAGUGACUGGGCGUAAAGAGUUGCGUAGGCGGUCAAGUUAGCGAGCGAUGAAAACUAUCGGCUCAACCGAUAGCUUGUUGUUCGAACUGCUUGACUCGAGAGUAUCAGAGGUCGCUGGAAUUCCUAGUGUAGCAGUGAAAUGCGUAGAUAUUAGGAAGAACACCGAUGGCGUAGGCAGGCGACUGGGAUAUUUCUGACGCUAAGGCACGAAAGCGUGGGUAGCGAACCGGAUUAGAUACCCGGGUAGUCCACGCCGUAAACGAUGGAUGCUAAUUGUCUGAGGUAUCGACCCCUCGAGUAAUAAAGCUAACGCGUUAAGCAUCCCGCCUGUGGAGUACGGCCGCAAGGCUAAAACAUAAAGGAAUUGACGGGGAC